GCUUAACCGGAGAAGUGCAUCGGAAACUGGAUAACUUGAGUGCAGAAGAGGGUAGUGGAACUCCAUGUGUAGCGGUGGAAUGCGUAGAUAUAUGGAAGAACACCAGUGGCGAAGGCGGCUACCUGGUCUGCAACUGACGCUGAGACUCGAAAGCAAGGGUAGCGAACAGGAUUAGAUACCCUGGUAGUCCAUGCCGUAAACGAUGAGUGCUAGGUGUUGGAGGGUUUCCGCCCUUCAGUGCCGGAGCUAACGCAUUAAGCACUCCGCCUGGGGAGUACGACCGCAAGGUUGAAACUCAAAGGAAUUGACGGGGGCCCGCACAAGCGGUGGAGCAAGUGGUUUAAUUCGAAGCUACGCGAAGAACCUUACCAGGUCUUGACAUCUUGCGCCAACCCUAGAGAUAGGGCGUUUCCUUCGGGAACGCAAUGACAGGUGGUGCAUGGUCGUCGUCAGCUCGUGUCGUGAGAUGUUGGGUUAAGUCCCGCAACGAGCGCAACCCUUGUUACUAGUUGCCAGCAUUAAGUUGGGCACUCUAGUGAGACUGCCGGUGACAAACCGGAGGAAGGUGGGGACGACGUCAGAUCAUCAUGCCCCUUAUGACCUGGGCUACACACGUGCUACAAUGGACGGUACAACG
rnacentral:rRNA from 1 species